rnacentral:rRNA from 1 species
GAUGAACGCUGGCGGCGUGCUUAAUACAUGCAAGUCGAGCGGACAGACGAUGCUCUUGCUGCUCUCACGUGAGCGGCGGACGUGUGAGUCACACGUGUAUAACCUACCUAUAUGUCUGGUAUCUCUUCGGGAAACCGGAGCUAAUACCGUAUAAUAUAUUGAACCGCAUGGUUCAAUAGUGAAAUACGGUUUUUCGGGCAGUUAUAGAUGGAUCCCCGCCGGAUUAGCUAGUUGGUACGUUAACGGCUUACCAAGGCAACGAUGCGUAGGCGACGGGUGGGGGUGAUCGGCGACACUGGAACUGAGACGCGGUCCAGGCUCCUACGGGAGGCAGCAGUAGGGAAUCGGAGGCAAUGGGCGAAAACAUGACGGAGCAACGCCGCGUGAGUGAUGAAGGUCUUCGGAGCGUAAAAAUCUGUUAUGAGGGAAGAACAAAUGUGUAAGUAACUAUGCACGUCUUGACGGUAACUAGUCAGGAAGCAACGGCUAACUACGUG